UUCGCUCGAGUUCAGACGAGAAGACGAGACCUUCGCGAACUGCUAGGGAUUCCGCCAUUGAAGCCGAGCCCACUGAGCUCGCUUCGCUAAGCCAGCGACGAGAGAACCCCUCGACCGUCUCCGCAAACGCCAGCGAUUGAGGCCUCCGAUUUGUCGCCUGCCCAUGGGGCAUCAGGCAUCGGCGUUUAGCUUCCGGGAGCCUCGGCCCGGCGGCUUCCGCUUCUCGGGCGUCGUCCGCGAUCGACUGAGGAACGAUCUCGUGCGCUUGAAAGACAAAGGAAUUCCGGGUUUUCCACAUCAACCUGAGUAUGCCCACGAGAAGAUCUCGCCCCAGAGCAUCAGAUCCCUCGAUAACUUUGAUCCACUCGCACAGGGUAAAAAGAUGUUCCACCCUUUCCAGGGCUUUUCAGCAUAGGGGACAAAUCGGAUCAGGCAUCAUCUUCCGUUUGGGCAGGUUUUCUCUUGUGGGUAGUGGCAUUCUGACACGCACUCCACGUGAAGAAACGUAGCUUUGGAUAGGAAGUAAACUGCCAAACGAUAGACCAAAGCGCGCAGCGUGGCUUAGAUUAAUGGCUUGACCCGAGGCAAAACGGUAUCAGCUGGUAGAAACGUACCUUUGGAUAGGAAUUUACCUGCCAAACGUGCCUUUUGAAGUUUCGUGUUUGCGGCUGGAACCAAUUACGAAUUACUAUGUUUGACGUUGGUUUUCACCUUGCUCGGGCCAUCUUCUGGGUCAGCCAAAUUUAAGAUGUCUUAGUACUUCAAGAAAAACUUGAUUUUGACAAUAAGCUCGCUGAAAUCAGAGUUCAGUGAAGAAAGAGAUGACGUGACCAAAUUCGAUGCGCGAGCUGCCCUAUACGGGAACAACAAUGACUAUUCUGUUCUAGGCAAGCUUUUCGUUGAUGCGUAGUGGUCGUUAUGUUGCUGAGUAAGUGUGUGGAUUAGUCGAGUCUUAGCUAAGAAAGUUAUUUACUCGAUUUCAUAUUUGUUUCUUGUUUAAUUUAUAGAAUUUUGAGUUUGGGCUCGAGUUGUUUUAGUUGUUUAGUUUUGGUAAUUUCCUUGUUUCUUCUGCAAUUCUUUCUUGCUUUCUUGUUUUGUUUUCUGUGUCUUUUUCUUUUCACCAUGAGUCCUGCAUUUUUAGGAUGCAAUCUCCAGGUGGUCUGCCCUCAGAGUGCAGGUGUUUGCUGUACCCUUAUGAUAAUUCUGAACUUCAAAUUGUGAUUCCAUGGGUUAAAGUUAUGAUAUUUGGUUGCUUUUGUUGGAUAUGAGUUAGCAAGUGGGAAAUUCUGUCACAGAAUUUUGGUUUUAGUUCCUCCUGGGGUUGGACUUUGUUACCCUACCCAUUUGGUUUGGGCAUUUCACUGGAUCAAUAUAUUAAGUUUUGAUGCUUUAGCUGGAAUACUGAGGCAAAAGAAAAUUAGAAAGAAAUUGAGACGAGAGAUGAGAAUAAUAUGAUUGAGAGAGCUGAUAUGAACGAGGAGAAGAAGAAGAAGAAGAAGAAGAAGGCAUUUGUCACGAGAAUGUAACAUAUUGGUCGUGGUGUACUUAUGGAGCAUGUUUUAUAUCCCAGAUGGACUCAGUCCCAACAGUUUGAGCGUUCGGGAUAAAGGGCUGUUUAAUACUGUGUCCGAGUUUAAAUGCAAGAGCUGGAAUCCUAACUAUACAUCUUAUAGAUGUUCUGCAUGUCUUACUUGUCAUUGCCCUCCUGCUUUCUGAAUUAUCCUGAAAUUCAUGCAAUUCUCAACUUACAGACAAAGUGGAUUAUGAAGGAAUAUGCUUCAUACACCUGUCCACUGACACUUCAGAUUCUAACUUUGCUAACUCUCUCUUUUCCCGCCCACGGACAUCUCUACAACUCAAUUAGUUCCUGCUCAUCUCUGGCUCCUGUCUUCAUCUCACAGCAAAUUCUUCACCUUUUUCUCUUCAUUUGUGUAGUCACAGGAGGACCAGCUGCAACUGUUAAGCAGUUCAUCGUCUUCUGAGGAUGGACUGAGCAGGAGGUUAAGAGGGAGGUUGAAUGAGUCUAUUCCAAAUGAUUAUGUUGCUCCACUUUGGAAGUCAGAGUCUUUAGUUCUGCAGAGCUGAAAGUUGCAACAAGAAGCUUCAGAUCUGAUACAAUUCUCGGCAAGGGUGGUUUUGGUAGUCUUCAAAGGCUGCCUUGAUGAGAAGGGGUCUUCCCAGGGCAAAAAAAUUACUCCAAUUGCCAUAAAAAAAAUUGAACCCAGAGAGCAUGCAAGGAUCUAAAUAGUGGAGGGUAAUCUUAGUUCCUCUCAGGAAAGCUCGGGUUGCAUGUGCUUUGCAGUAUUUAAUGUUAAUUGCCAUUGCAUUUUUAGCAAGAAGCUCUAUUAUGAUGGUGGGAGAAGAAUCGUGUCCAGAUACAUAGUUUGUUGUAGAAAAAUGAGUAUGAGAUGAUAGAUGUCAGUGGCCUUUUUUGUCUCUAGAUUGUUCUGGUUUUGUGUGGCUAAUUUCAUAUGAAGUUCACUAUCUCAUCUUGCUUUCUUCCUUUCGGGGAUAUAUGUUGUUGCCCAGCGGACGCAUAUUUCUGGGGGUUUGUUCAACAACGUGGGCCUGUUAGGAUUGCAAUUAUUUUGGAAAAGACAGUGCCUGCUCCUCUUAAUCUUUAUUGUAGGUCCCUUUACUUGUCCUAUGACCACGAGCAAUUCUAUGCAAGAGCUUAGGGAAAAGUCAGCUUGCUUUUCCAUUGUAUGGUUUCAAGUCCACAUAAAAACAUUAAAAAAUCUUGUGAGAUUCUGUUUUCAAGGACUUCUGGGGUUAGUGUGAGUAUUUUCCAGACAUGCAAUAGAAGAGUAAAAAUUUGCCUAUCCUACACCUGGAGCUGUUAAUUUUCCGGUGUUUAUUUUAUCUCUAUUCAAAAUCCAACAGCAGGCACAGUGCUGGGUGGAAUGCAUGGCUCAUAUAAGAUUCCUUACGCAUGUACCAUUGGAGAUUCAAAUAGUCAAAACAAUCUGAAAAGAGCUGUUUUUACUAAUUUGCUGAACAGUUUGUCAGGAUGUAAAGUGAUGGGACACAAAUGUUUAAGGCAUAUCUGUUUUGGAAAGCACAUUUGAAUGGCCAUCUCAGGAUGUAUGGGUGAGAAGGCAAGCUGCUGUAAAUCCUAGGACCAUCCGAUAUAAACCUCAACAGCCGAGCAGCAGGGAAGUGGAGGAAACAAGUAGGAGGAGAGAAGCUUCGCCAGCUUAGCUUCUCUCUCGAAGGUUCUUGAGAGUUUGUCAGGAUGUAAAGUGAUGAGACACAAAUGGUUAGGCAUAUCUGUAUUGGAAAGCACAUUUGAGUGGCCAUCUCAGGUUGUGUGGAUGAGAAGGCAAGCUGCUGUAAAUCCUAGGACCAUUUGAUCUAUAGAUACCUCAAUGCAAAUUACAUGCACGUUUGUUUUGCAGCAGCCAAACAGCAUGGAAGUGGAGGAAACAAGUAGGAGGAGAGAAGCUUUGCCAGCUUAGCUUCUUGAGAGGUGGAGUAGAAACAUCUUAUGAAUCUUCAUUGUUUAGUCGGUGGUGAACUUCCUGGACAGCUUAUCUCAUCCAAACAUUGUCAGGCUAAUGUGAUACUGUUUGCAGAUAAAAAAAACUACUUCUUGUCCAUGGCUUCUUGCCAAGGGGUAGUACCCUAAAGAACCAUCUCUUUGGAAAUAAGGGGGCCUGGGCCAUUAAAGCACUUCCAUGGGUCACACGGAUUAAAUUUGCAAUAGGAGCAGCCAGGCCUCACGUUCUUGCACCAGUUAGACAAGCAAAUAAGUCUGCAAAGAUUUCAAGCCCUCAAACAUAUUGCCGGACUCAGUUUUCACAUAUAACACGGGAGUUAUUAUUGCAAAGCAUCUUCAAAACCUGGUCCGCCCGAGUAUGUUUUCCUUAUUUGUUGGUCCGAGGGCUUUGUUGUUAUGAUCAUCUAAAAAGGCACAUUCCCAAACUGCUCUUUUCAUGGUUAGUUUAUAAUACCAGUCAUUAGCCCGAGCUGAGCUUUUUAAAUCUGUGCGUUGUCAAGUUUUUACUGUUGACCUUAUCCCCUUUGACCUUUUGUUUAGCAUGUGUUUCGACAGUGCUAUAACGCCAAAAUAUUAGAUUUUGGUUUGGCCAAAAAGAGUCCAGACGAAGACGGAUCACAUGCAGACGGACACAGGUUAUCGGAACUUAUGGAUACGCAGCACCUGAGCAUAUAAGCCACCGGUAAUAUGAUAAAAUAUCAGAUGCUGACGCCUGAGUCACCAACCAAACCCGCCAAUGGUUCCUGCGGAUGACGCCUUAACCACACGGUUAGGCCGGAUAGAAAUGUUAACUAUCUCAUGAUGAUGCUUACGUAUUAAGGGGUUUUAAAAUACUCAAAACCUUGACAAAAAAGAAAAUAAAAUAAAAUGCAGCAGCAAAA